CAACCACCCACGCAAAUCAAUCUUUUUCUCUCUCCUCUAGUUUUCUGUUAUAACCCUAAUGCCAAAUUUCCUCUCGAAUAAAUUCUCCUCUUACUCUGCUAUUUCGCUUGGAGUAGCAAAAGCUGGUAGAAUCUCAUAGAAAAAAUGGCAGGCGAUGGAAAAGGAGCGUUGAAGGAGGUGAAAUCGAAGGCUGAGUUUGAUCAAACCACAGGGAAGGGCUCUCCGAUCUUUCUACAUUUCUGGGCGUCACGGUGCAAGGACUCCAAGCACAUAUACCAAGUUUUCUAUCAUAUCUCCCCUGAUUCCCCCUAGCCCACUUCCUCCAGAUUUAUACUUACCCAUUUUCUCUCUCUCUUUCUGAAACAUACACAAAAAUAGUUUAUACCAAUAUUAUUUUUUUGCUAUUUUUCAAUGUUGAUCUGAUUUUGUUUUUAUUGGUGAAUAUAUUAGAUCUCUUUCCUUUGCUUGUUUCCUUUUCUUUUUAAUUUAAUAUGAGGAAUUCAAACAUCAUUAGGCAAUAAAGUAAGAAAAGUCGACGGAAAAGACAGAGAGAAGGGACAGCUAAUCGUUGAUAUAAACGUUUAUAAGCAACGGAUUCAAGAAAUGUAUGAGGUGGAGCACCGUGGAGCGAUGGCUAAUCGUUGAUAUGUCAACAGCAAAGACAGAGAGAAGGGAACAGAUUGUGUUUUCAUUUCGAAAUUCUAUUUUGUGGAUUUUUAUUUCUAUUGAAUAGGAAAUGGUUCAACUCUCUGUGAUUAGAAUCUAACGGCUGAGAAUGGAAGUUAUGAUGUAUUAGUAAAGUCUUAUCCAUUAUCAACGUGUUUGGGGGUGCGAGGGACAUGCAAAUUUCACCUACAAC
rnacentral:lncRNA from 1 species